rnacentral:rRNA from 1 species
UGGGGAAUAUUGGACAAUGGGCGAAAGCCUGAUCCAGCCAUGCCGCGUGUGUGAAGAAGGCCUUUUGGUUGUAAAGCACUUUAAGCGAGGAGGAGGAGCUUCAGGUUAAUACCCUGGAUGCUUGGACGUUACUCGCAGAAUAAGCACCGGCUAACUCUGUGCCAGCAGCCGCGGUAAUACAGAGGGUGCAAGCGUUAAUCGGAUUUACUGGGCGUAAAGCGUGCGUAGGCGGCUAAUUAAGUCAAAUGUGAAAUCCCCGAGCUUAACUUGGGAAUUGCAUUCGAUACUGGUUAGCUAGAGUAUGGGAGAGGAUGGUAGAAUUCCAGGUGUAGCGGUGAAAUGCGUAGAGAUCUGGAGGAAUACCGAUGGCGAAGGCAGCCAUCUGGCCUAAUACUGACGCUGAGGUACGAAAGCAUGGGGAGCAAACA